UUGAACUGAAGAGUUUGAUCCUGGCUCAGAUUGAACGCUGGCGGCAUGCCUUACACAUGCAAGUCGAACGGCAGCACGGGCUUCGGCCUGGUGGCGAGUGGCGAACGGGUGAGUAAUACAUCGGAACAUGUCCUGUAGUGGGGGAUAGCCCGGCGAAAGCCGGAUUAAUACCGCAUACGAUCUACGGAUGAAAGCGGGGGACCUUCGGGCCUCGCGCUAUAGGGUUGGCCGAUGGCUGAUUAGCUAGUUGGUGGGGUAAAGGCCUACCAAGGCGACGAUCAGUAGCUGGUCUGAGAGGACGACCAGCCACACUGGGACUGAGACACGGCCCAGACUCCUACGGGAGGCAGCAGUGGGGAAUUUUGGACAAUGGGGGCAACCCUGAUCCAGCAAUGCCGCGUGUGUGAAGA
rnacentral:rRNA from 1 species